rnacentral:lncRNA from 1 species
AUGCCAGAAUUUGGCAGAAGAGCAAGGCUGGGUCCUCUCCAGCAUCCCACAGCUCUUCCCUGCAAGGGGAAUUUCCAGAUGAUUCUCAUUUUAUACAAGAAAGCAAUUCAAUCCAAAAUAACGCUGGGUUGUUCUCUGCUCACAUGCAUCCUACAAGCUUUCAUUCUUUGCAGAGAAAUGAAGAUGACCGCAGGGCAGGAAAAAUACAACUGCAGUGCUGGAGUCUCAGCUAAGGUGGGGAAUCUGUCAGAUGGGAAAUGUGACUGCACUGACAGACAAGCCUGUGAACCUGCUUGGUGAAGGCGCUUUAUAAACUCCUGCUAGAGGGAUGCCGGCAACUGGUUCUCUACCACGUGAUGUACACUCUGCUCUGCAGUCUGAUCCGUGCGUCCCCUCCUGCCCAGCAGCGGGGUGGAAACGGG